rnacentral:rRNA from 1 species
GGGGAAUAUUGGGCAAUGGGGGGAACCCUGACCCAGCAACGCCGCGUGGAGGAAGAAGGUUUUCGGAUCGUAAACUCCUGUCCUUGGAGACGAGUAGAAGACGGUAUCCAAGGAGGAAGCCCCGGCUAACUACGUGCCAGCAGCCGCGGUAAUACGUAGGGGGCAAGCGUUGUCCGGAAUAAUUGGGCGUAAAGGGAGCGCAGGCGGACCGGCAAGUUGGAAGUGAAAACUAUGGGCUCAACCCAUAAAUUGCUUUCAAAACUGCUGGCCUUGAGUAGUGCAGAGGUAGGUGGAAUUCCCGGUGUAGCGGUGGAAUGCGUAGAUAUCGGGAGGAACACCAGUGGCGAAGGCGACCUACUGGGCACCAACUGACGCUGAGGCUCGAAAGCAUGGGUAGCAAACAGGAUUAGAUACCCUGGUAGUCCAUGCCGUAAACGAUGAUUACUAGGUGUUGGAGGAUUGACCCCUUCAGUGCCGCAGUUAACACAAUAAGUAAUCCACCUGGGGAGUACGACCGCAAGGUUGAAACUCAAAGGAAUUGACGGGGGCCCGCACAAGCAGUGGAGUAUGUGGUUUAAUUCGAAGCAACGCGAAGAACCUUACCAGGUCUUGACAUCCGAUGCAUAGCUUAGAGAUAAGUGAAGUCCUUCGGGACAUCGAGACAGGUGGUGCAUGGUUGUCGUCAGCUCGUGUCGUGAGAUGUUGGGUUAAGUCCCGCAACGAGCGCAACCCUUAUUGCCAGUUACUACGCAAGAGGACUCUGGCGAGACUGCCGUUGACAAAACGGAGGAAGGUGGGGAUGACGUCAAAUCAUCAUGCCCUUUAUGACCUGGGCUACACACGUACUACAAUGGCGUUUAACAAAGAGAAGCAAGACCGCGAGGUGGAGCAAAACUCAAAAACAACGUCUCAGUUCAGAUUGCAGGCUGCAACUCGCCUGCAUGAAGUCGGAAUUGCUAGUAAUCGCGGAUCAGCAUGCCGCGGUGAAUACGUUCCCG